AACUAACAAGGAUUCCCCUAGUAACGGCGAGUGAAGCGGGAAGAGCUCAAAUUUGAAAUCUGGUAGCCUUCGGUUGCCCGAGUUGUAAUCUAGAGAAGUGUUUUCCGUGCCGGCCCAUGUACAAGUCCCUUGGAACAGGGCGUCAUAGAGGGUGAGAAUCCCGUCCUUGACAUGGACCCCCGGUGCUUUGUGAUACACUUUCAACGAGUCGAGUUGUUUGGGAAUGCAGCUCAAAAUGGGUGGUGAAUUCCAUCUAAAGCUAAAUAUUGGCGAGAGACCGAUAGCGAACAAGUACCGUGAGGGAAAGAUGAAAAGCACUUUGGAAAGAGAGUUAAACAGUACGUGAAAUUGUUGAAAGGGAAACGAUUGAAGUCAGUCAUGCUCUUGGGACUUACCUCCCUUGAGUGGGGUCAACAUCAGUUUUGAUCGAUGGAUAAAGGCACGGGGAAGGUAGCACUCUCGGGUGAACUUAUAGCCUCGCGUCAUAUACAUUGAUUGGGACUGAGGAACGCAGCAUGCCUUUUGGCCGGGAUUCGUCCACGUACAUGCUUAGGAUGUUGACAUAAUGGCUUUAAACGAC
rnacentral:rRNA from 1 species